UAGAAAAACCGGUAAGUAAGGUUACUGUAGGGAUACGGGUUGCUGCCGCAAAAUAGUGGAGACACUAUGCGCUGGUUAGCAGGGAUGAUCGAUUCAAGGUCAUACCUAAUGCAAUUUCAUCGCCCUACAAAGCUAAAGCUCAAACGGAAAUGUCA
rnacentral:sRNA from 2 species